rfam:Camelus ferus unplaced genomic scaffold scaffold2192, whole genome shotgun sequence.
GGAGGGUUAGCUCAGUGGUAGAGCGUGUGCUUAGCAUGCACGAGGUCCUGGGUUCAGUCCCCAGUACCUCCA